AGCUAACUGUGAUCUUCAGGUUCAGUGAGAGAGGUUGUGUCUCAAAAGAAUAGGGUAGAGAGAGAUGCAGAGGAAGGGCACACACAGUGAUUGUGUGAGUGCAGAGUUGCCAUGCCCCAGGCCAUGAGAACCUGCCUCACAGAAACAAAUGUGGUUGUUUUCUGAGGAAGGACACCUCAGGUUUUUGUCUGAGAACACGAAGGCUUGCACACGUGCACAUGUGCAUACAUGAACACAUGCAUGCAUAUCACACACAUGCACAGGAAGCUCCCAUAGCUAUAACUUGUCAAAUGCCUUUGCUAGUAAGGCAUAAGUAAUGACCUGGUAGGUAAUGUGUUGAGUGAAGGUGGUGAGAACAUGCAUGUAAGUGGUACCAUGUUUCUACUCUGUGUCUGAGUAAGUGUGUUACAAAGUUUGGAAAAGAAAGCCCCCAUCUACCUUGCCCUUGUGCCUGUUUUCCUUCCAUAUCAAAACCUAGAUCCUCUUCUCAUUCUUAGGAAUGGCUAUUGAGCUAGCCAGGUGUGCCUUUAAUUCCAGCACUUAGGAGGCUGAAGCAGCAGAUCCCAGUCACUUGAAGGCUAUCCUGGUUUUCAAAGCAAGGCCCAGGACAUCCAGGGCUACACAGAGAAACCCUGUCUCAAAAACAAAACAAAAAA
rnacentral:lncRNA from 1 species